rnacentral:rRNA from 1 species
UACGAAGGGUGCUAGCGUUGCUCGGAAUCACUGGGCGUAAAGCGCACGUAGGCGGACUCUUAAGUCGGUGGUGAAAUCCUGGAGCUCAACUCCAGAACUGCCUUCGAUACUGAGAGUCUUGAGUCCGGGAGAGGUGAGUGGAACUGCGAGUGUAGAGGUGAAAUUCGUAGAUAUUCGCAAGAACACCAGUGGCGAAGGCGGCUCACUGGCCCGGUACUGACGCUGAGGUGCGAAAGCGUGGGGAGCAAACAGG